UACGUAGGGGGCAAGCGUUGUCCGGAUUUAUUGGGCGUAAAGAGCGUGUAGGCGGCCAUUCAGGUCAGCUGUGAAAACUCGAGGCUCAACCUCGAGACGUCGGUUGAAACCGUUUGGCUAGAGUCCGGAAGAGGAGAGUGGAAUUCCCGGUGUAGCGGUGAAAUGCGCAGAUAUCGGGAAGAACACCCGUGGCGAAGGCGGCUCUCUGGGACGGUACUGACGCUGAGACGCGAAAAGCGUGGGGGAGCGAACAGG
rnacentral:rRNA from 1 species